GCUCGCUCUGACAUGCCACUGACCACCAGGGGCAGACACUGACCGGUUGGUUAGCUUGCUGCUGGUGUCUGGCUGAUCGGGACUGAGC